rnacentral:lncRNA from 1 species
AGAAACCGGGUUUAACCAUGUUGGCCAGGCUGCUCUUGAACUCCUGACCUCAGGUGAUCCUUGUUGCACCCCAUUCCUCACCAUCCAAGCCCACGUUCAGCUGAGUUUGUGUUCUGUUUUACACAUAUGGCAAUAAUGUAUGAUUUAACUUUUAAAAUGAAUUUUGCUAAAAUGUUUGAAAACCUGCACCACCCCAUGCCACUUCAUUGGGAAUGACUUCAAAAAUACUGAACCCUAAGAAUAUUGAACCAUAUUGUGAGUUAAAUGAAAAUGGAGGCUCAAAUAAAUUUACAUUAAAAAUAUUAAAUACAGGUGUGAGCCACCAUGCCCGGCCUUGGGAAGCUGAGGCAGGCAGAUCACUUGAGGUCAGGAGUUCAAGACCAGCCUGGCCAACAUGAUGAAACCCUGUUUCUACAAAAAAUACAAAAAAUUAGCUGGGUAUGAUAGUGCACCCCUGUAAUCCCAGCUACUCAGGAGGUUGAGGUUUGAGAAUCGCUUGAACCUGGGAGGUGGAGCUUGCAGUGAGGCAAGAUCAUGCCACUGCAUGUGACAGAGUGAGACUCUGACUUGCAAAAAAAAAAAAAAAUACAAGUAUCAUUCUCAAAAAAGCUAGGGCAUAUAAGCAAAGAGGAGACAGGAAGCCCAGAUCUGUAAGAAGCUUCAGAAAGCCUAGAGCUAGGAAUUGAUGGAAGUUUCUAAAAAUAAAAGUGAAAAUGCAUUUUAAAGAUUACAUUUAGAAGUUGAUGGUCAAGGACCACAGCUUUGCUAGUUUUUUGUUUUGUUUUGUAUUUAGCCAAUUAUGGUAAGUGGACUUAAUUGUAUCUUGAUCUUUACGAUAUAUACAAGUAUGUAAUGCAAUCUUAAAAAUAUUUUAACACUAUUUAUUCCAAACCUAAUGGAUUAUAAUCUGGCAGUUAUUUAUCCAAAUGCUUUUGGAAAAUAAGGUUCAACUUUGAAUAUCCAUGGCUGACUGUUUGGCUAGAAAAUGUAUGCUUUUGCACAUUCACUCAGAGAAGCACCAUUCCAACUUCUGUCCUUUGCCUUCCUCUUCUUUUUCCCAGACCUUUAUCCUGUGUGCUUGGCUAAUAAUGAUGGCCUCUCAGAUUUUUGGACUCCCCUAGUCCUGAGCAUCCAGUGAGUCUUGUUAAUGGUGAGCCGCAGCCAUUUGAUUUUUCUUUGGUUCCUGCUGCAGAGAACUCUCUCAGGGCACUUUGUGACCGGCCUGCUUCUUGCUUUCUGCUGAAUCUGCGUGUGCAGAGGUUGGAUCAUGUCAGGUCCUUGUGUUACCUGGCUGCCUUCAAAACUUCUGGCUCAGCACCUCUUGAUUUUGCUCAUGUUUAUUUAGAAAAUAAGUCAGGAUCAACUG